GACGAACGCUGGCGGCGUGCCUAAUACAUGCAAGUAGAACGCUGAAGAGAGGAGCUUGCUCUUCUUGGAUGAGUUGCGAACGGGUGAGUAACGCGUAGGUAACCUGCCCGGUAGCGGGGGAUAACUAUUGGAAACGAUAGCUAAUACCGCAUGAUAUUAAUUGUCGCAUGAUAAUUAAUUGAAAGAUGCAAUUGCAUCACUACCAGACGGACCUGCGUUGUAUUAGCUAGUUGGUGAGGUAACGGCUCACCAAGGCGACGAUACAUAGCCGACCUGAGAGGGUGAUCGGCCACACUGGGACUGAGACACGGCCCAGACUCCUACGGGAGGCAGCAGUAGGGAAUCUUCGGCAAUGGGGGGAACCCUGACCGAGCAACGCCGCGUGAGUGAAGAAGGUUUUCGGAUCGUAAAGCUCUGUUGUAAGAGAAGAACGGGUGUGAGAG
rnacentral:rRNA from 1 species